GUUGUACUGCUUGAAAUUCCGUCUCCACCGUUGCUCGACACUGCGUGUAUAGAGCAGGAAGUGCAACAAUAGAAAAAUAGUUGCGGGACGGCACUGUGUAGCGUUUGUCUAGGGUGUUGAUCAUUUUCCUAAAUCCCUCGUUUUGCACAGUGUUGAUGGGAGCCAUAUCUUUGGUCAGCUGAUAAGUGAUAGCCUCCGUAAUUUCUUUGUGCCUGCGGGAGUUCGACGGGUAUAGGGAAGCGCUGUAUAAGGUUCCCGUUAUUGAGGUUUGGGUGGUUGACCAAGACGGAUUUUCUCCUGUCACUUUCUCGUCAUCCCUGACGUGCUCUCCGUUGUUUUUUCCCUGCUAAUUUUAGCAUCACACGGCACAGCUUCUGUAUCACGUGGUAUAAGGCUCCGCCCUUGUCAUUUGUUGAGCAGGAAGAGUGAGCGCUUGUUUUCAUACAGAUUACGUCCCGGAUCAAAAUGCGGUACAAUCGUUGUCUUUUUCUUUUUUCUUUUCUUUUUUUUUUUUUUAAAAUCGUUGUCAUUUGGAAAUGAGAUCUCACAUAAGUAUGAAUCGAGAUUGCGAUUUUCUAACGAUUAAUCGUGCAGCCCUAUUGCACAGUGUGUUGUGGUUAGCACUGCUGCCUCACAGCAGGUAAAUCAAGAGUUCAAAUCUAGGUGGAAUUUGACUGUUCUCUGCAUGGGUUCUUUCUGAGUACUCCUGUUUCCUCCCACAGUCCAAAAACAUGCAAGGGUUACAUUAGGCUAAUUGGUUAUUCUAAAACAAACUGACUGGCAUGAAACUGAGCAUGGCUUGUCUGUCUCUGUAUAGGAACUGUUUGAGGUACACCCCAUAACUUGGCAUCACAGCUGAUAUAGGCUCAUUUUUUAUCUAAGGAGCUUGGAAGGAAAAGUGACUAGACUUCUUUGAGUUUCCUGGAGAGAUCCACCUUUCAUCCAAGAAGCUUCUUUAGUUCUAAGCCUCUAUACGUCUUCAAAAAACUCAAAGAAGUCCAGUCGCUUUUGUUUUCAAGGUCCUUAGAUUACCAUGACCUGGGUAUGGAACCAAAAAGUAGCUCACACCCUCUCCAUCUAGUGCCAGAUAAUAAAAGUAAAUAAAUACAUUU
ensembl:lncRNA